rnacentral:tRNA from 1 species
ACCUGGCUGGCUCAGUUGGUGGAGCAUGUGACUCUUGAUCUCAGGGUUGUGAGUCCGACACCCACACUGGGUG